rnacentral:rRNA from 1 species
UACGUAGGUGGCGAGCGUUGUCCGGAUUUACUGGGCGUAAAGGGCGUGCAGGCGGUUUGUUAAGUGCAGGGUGAAAGCUCCCGGCUCAACUGGGAGAGGUCCUUGCAUACUGGCGAACUCGAGGGAGGCAGAGGAAAGUGGAAUUCCCGGUGUAGUGGUGAUAUGCGUAGAGAUGUGGAGGAACACCGAUGGCGAAGGCAGCCUUCUGGGCCAACACUGACGCUCAUGCACGAAAGCGUGGGGAGCAAACAGG